GGGUUUCUACAUUCUCCCCCCCCCCUUAAUAGAAUUCGUCCUCGAAUUCUUAGUUGUGAAAUUGAUCGUCUUCACAACAUUCUCCAAGCGUCUCCUAACCUCUUUACUCUGUCCACAACUGUUCUUUGAGUGUGCUCCUCAAGGUCUCCACAAUUGUCUUCAUAUCUCUUGACUGAGUCGUCCUCUUUCUCUUAUUCUGCCAUAACACAUUGAUUGCCCAUGAUACAAACUUGUCCAGAUUCCUCCAAUCCUUCUCGGUCUUCGUCUUCCCAAG
rnacentral:lncRNA from 1 species